ACCUACGGGGCGCAGCAGUGGGGAAUAUUGGGCAAUGGGCGCAAGCCUGACCCAGCAACGCCGCGUGAAGGAAGAAGGCUUUCGGGUUGUAAACUUCUUUUGUCAGGGACGAAGCAAGUGACGGUACCUGACGAAUAAGCCACGGCUAACUACGUGCCAGCAGCCGCGGUAAUACGUAGGUGGCAAGCGUUAUCCGGAUUUACUGGGUGUAAAGGGCGUGUAGGCGGGACUGCAAGUCAGAUGUGAAAACCACGGGCUCAACCUGUGGCCUGCAUUUGAAACUGUAGUUCUC
rnacentral:rRNA from 1 species